rnacentral:rRNA from 1 species
UACAGAGGGGGCAAGCGUUGUUCGGAAUUACUGGGCGUAAAGGGCGCGUAGGCGGCCUGCUAAGUCGAACGUGAAAUCCCUGGGCUCAACCCAGGAACUGCGUCCGAUACUGGUUGGCUUGAAUCCGGGAGAGGGACGUGGAAUUCCAGGUGUAGCGGUGAAAUGCGUAGAUAUCUGGAGGAACACCGGUGGCGAAAGCGGCUCUCUGGGACGGUACUGACGCUGAGACGCGAAAGCGUGGGGAGCAAACAGG